rnacentral:rRNA from 1 species
GACGAACGCUGGCGGCGUGCCUAACACAUGCAAGUCGAACGGAAUGAGGGGGCUUGCUCCUUCAUUUAGCGGCGCACGGGUGAGUAACGCGUAGAUAAUCUGCCUGAUGAUCUGGGAUAACAUCUCGAAAGGGGUGCUAAUACCGGAUAAGCCCACGGGGACUUUGGUCUUUGUGGGAAAAGGGGGGGACCUUUUGGCCUUCUGUCAUCAGAUGAGUCUGCGUACCAUUAGCUAGUUGGUAGGGUAAAGGCCUACCAAGGCUACGAUGGUUAGCUGGUUUGAGAGAAUGAUCAGCCACACUGGAACUGAGACACGGUCCAGACUCCUACGGGAGGCAGCAGUGGGGAAUUUUGCGCAAUGGGCGAAAGCCUGAUCCAGCCAUUCCGCGUGAGUGAAGAAGGCCUUCGGGUUGUAAAGCUCUUUCGCAAGGGAAGAACACUUACUUAAUAACACUAAGUGAGGUUGACGGUACCUUGAUAAGAAGCACCGGCUAACUACGUGCCAGCCGCCGCCGUAAGAC